rnacentral:rRNA from 1 species
GACGAACGCUGGCGGCGUGCUUAACACAUGCAAGUCGAACGGAAGGGCCCUGCUUUUGUGGGGUGCUCGAGUGGCGAACGGGUGAGUAACACGUGAGUAACCUGCCCUUGACUUUGGGAUAACUUCAGGAAACUGGGGCUAAUACCGGAUAGGAGCUCCUGCUGCAUGGUGGGGGUUGGAAAGUUUCGGCGGUUGGGGAUGGACUCGCGGCUUAUCAGCUUGUUGGUGGGGUAGUGGCUUACCAAGGCUUUGACGGGUAGCCGGCCUGAGAGGGUGACCGGCCACAUUGGGACUGAGAUACGGCCCAGACUCCUACGGGAAGCAGCAGUGGGGAAUAUUGCACAAUGGGCGGAAGCCUGAUGCAGCAACGCCGCGUGCGGGAUGACGGCCUUCGGGUUGUAAACCGCUUUCGCCUGUGACGAAGCGUGAGUGACGGUAAUGGGUAAAGAAGCACCGGCUAACUACGUG